CUUCCAGCACCCACUCACAGGUUUUCGCCUAUGCCUUUAGCUACACAUGGUUUCCCAGCUGCAGUGCAUAUACCUUUUUGGAGAGAUGCCACACUCCGACCUGGGAGGGGAAUACGAGUGUGGAUGAGGACAAGUAGGCCGAGGACAUGGUUCCCUGGCAACAGGGCCAGCCCAACAGGAGGGGCAGGCUCCAGGGACGAGUCAGCUUUGGGGGAUCGUGCCAUCUGCGGUAUCAGCAUCUCUUAGAGGUUGUUGGAAAUGCAGAAUCUCAGGCUUCACCUCAGACUAACUGAAUCAUAAUCUGCCACUUGACAAGACCUGGGAGAUUUGUGUGCCUGCUAAUAUUCGAGAAGCAUUUUCUCUGGAAGACAAGAACUUUAUUUUGUAUUUCACUUAUAUUUGCAUUUCCUUGUAAUUAAAUGGAACCAUGGUGGCCAUGAA